rnacentral:rRNA from 1 species
UACGAAGGUGGCAAGCGUUGUUCGGAUUUACUGGGCGUACAGGGGAGCGUAGGCGGUUGGAUAAGCCCUCCGUGAAAUCUCCAGGCUUAACCUGGAAAGUGCAGAGGGGACUGUUCAGCUAGAGGAUGGGAGAGGAGCGCGGAAUUCCCGGUGUAGCGGUGAAAUGCGUAGAGAUCGGGAGGAAGGCCGGUGGCGAAGGCGGCGCUCUGGAACAUUUCUGACGCUGAGGCUCGAAAGCGUGGGGGAGCAAACAGG